AAACUGCUUCGCUGAGCGCAGCUGGAUACGCCCGCAGAGGUCCAACCCUGAACAGUUGGGGCAAAAAUGGACACAAUAUUCAAGCUUGAUACAGGUCUGAAUUUGGAUUGUAAUUAAAUAUUUGACACAUUAUAGGUUUCUGACACAGAAUAAAUGUAGUCAAAGAACUUGAUAUUGGUUGUAUGAUUUGAAUUUAUAUUCAAUUGAAGAUUUCUUGCUGUUGUGCAAUACACUGUGCUGUUGCACAAUACUUAGUAAAU